rnacentral:ncRNA from 1 species
UUCGAUGCAAAGCGAAUAACCUUACCCAGGGCUUGACAUGUCGUGAAUCCUCUUGAAAGAGAGGGGUGCUCUUGGGAACGCGGACACAUGUGAUGCAUGGUUGUCGACAACUAAUGCCGUAAUGUGUUGGGUUAAGUCUCGCAAUGAGCACAACCCUCGUGAUGAACAUAUAGUGACCGGUCAAAGUUUCAAAUUGCAAAUUUAACAUAUAUGUA